rnacentral:lncRNA from 1 species
UGUGAACCUCUUUCCCCACUCAGAUGUCCAAGCCUUAACUCCAGCAUUACAGGACUUGACUAUUUGCAGACAAGGCCUUUAGAGAGACAGGUGAAUCUGAGUAUGCCGCGGAGCAGAAGGAACAAAUAGGAUGGAGGAAAUUGGAGCUUCUGGGGUGAGGGAAGUAUUUGGAGAUUUGGAUAAAGAGAGAGAAAAGGGGUGAAGGUCAGGAUGUGCUCCUUGACCAUGGGCCCAAAAGCAGCAGAGCCAACUGACCAUGGACUGAAACCUCCAAAGCUGUGAGUCAUAAUAAGUCUUUUCUCUGUAUGUGUUGACUAUCUCAGAUAUUUGUGAUAGUAAUGGAAAACUGACACAUACGUGGGCUGACUCCUUCUCCUAGUGAUUUCUGGAGAGCACUCCCAUAAUUUAACAACUAAUACCAACGCCAUACUGAACACAUCCGGUGACUACUCCUUACCCCCUCAAAAGUGAAGUAGCUCUUUAGAC